UACGUAGGGGGCAAGCGUUGUCCGGAUUUAUUGGGCGUAAAGAGCGUGUAGGCGGCUUUACAGGUCCGUUGUGAAAACUCGAGGCUCAACCUCGAGACGCCGGUGGAAACCGUAAAGCUAGAGUCCGGAAGAGGAGAGUGGAAUUCCUGGUGUAGCGGUGAAAUGCGCAGAUAUCGGGAGGAACACCGGUGGCGAAGGCGGUUCUCUGGGCCUGUGCUGACGCUGAGGAGCGAAAGCGUGGGGAGCGAACAGG
rnacentral:rRNA from 1 species